rnacentral:rRNA from 1 species
GGGGAAUUUUGGACAAUGGGCGAAAGCCUGAUCCAGCCAUUCCGCGUGAGUGAAGAAGGCCUUCGGGUUGUAAAGCUCUUUCGCAAGGGAAGAAAACUUAUCCUCUAACAUAGGAUGAGGAUGACGGUACCUUGAUAAGAAGCACCGGCUAACUACGUGCCAGCAGCCGCGGUAAUACGUAGGGUGCGAGCGUUAAUCGGAAUUACUGGGCGUAAAGCGUGCGCAGGCGGUUUUGAAAGUCAGAUGUGAAAUCCCCGAGCUCAACUUGGGAACUGCGUUUGAAACUCCAAAGCUAGAGUAUAGGAGAGGGGGGUAGAAUUCCACGUGUAGCAGUGAAAUGCGUAGAGAUGUGGAGGAAUACCAAUGGCGAAGGCAGCCCCCUGGCCUAAUACUGACGCUCAUGCACGAAAGCGUGGGGAGCAAACAGGA